rnacentral:rRNA from 1 species
GGGCCCGCACAAGCGGUGGAGUAUGUGGUUUAAUUCGAUGCAACGCGAAGAACCUUACCAGGGUUUGACAUCCUGCGAAUCUCUUGGAAACAGGAGAGUGCCUUCGGGAACGCAGUGACAGGUGCUGCAUGGCUGUCGUCAGCUCGUGUCGUGAGAUGUUCGGUUAAGUCCGGCAACGAGCGCAACCCACGUCUUUAGUUGCCAGCAUUUAGUUGGGCACUCUAGAGAGACUGCCGGUGAUAAACCGGAGGAAGGUGUGGAUGACGUCAAGUCCUCAUGGCCCUUACGGGUUGGGCUACACACGUGCUACAAUGGUAGUGACAAUGGGUUAAUCCCAAAAAGCUAUCUCAGUUCGGAUUGUCGUCUGCAACUCGACGGCAUGAAGUCGGAAUCGCUAGUAAUCG